AAGUCGUAACAAGGUUUCCGUAGGUGAACCUGCGGAAGGAUCAUUAGAAAUCGGCAAAACGCGAGCGGGGAUUGGCGCGGGACGGCGCGGGGCGGGCGACGGGCGAGACGGACGGCAGCGUCUCAAGCACAAUUGCGAAGCGAUCAACCAUACAUAUACAGUACAGUACAGCUCCUGACAAUGGAUCUCUAGGCUCCU
rnacentral:misc_RNA from 1 species